ACUAUUUUGGCAGAAAAAUGUAAUAAAUUUAGAAUUUAUUUAUGUAAAAUUAUUAUUACAAAUAGUA
rnacentral:tRNA from 1 species